CGUCAGCGUCCAGUACUUGCCCGUGUGGGUACGGAAGGCACACUUUUUGGUGUCGCGGUCGAUCUCCAGCUGGAAGGUCUCCUGGUCGGUCUCCUCGUCCUGAUUGGCAGACAGGUCCAUACCUGCAGAGAGGAGGCCUUGGGCUGGUACUGGGGCCCCACGCCCCCUAGUUCUGGCAGACCAUAGCCCUGAGCUCACAGAACUACACACGCAAGGUAACACCACGGGGUGGGGUGGGCGGCCGAGUCCCCACAGUGGCACACAUGAGAAGCAGCAGAGAGCACCCAGGAACGCAGGCAGGGCCGGUCAGAGGCCAAGGCAAGCUACAUCUGUUCCCACAUGACUUUCCCCAGUUAGAGAAAUAAUAGGGGCCAGGGACAGGGGCUCAUGCCUGUGAUCGCAACACUUUGGGAGGC
rnacentral:lncRNA from 10 species